CUUGAUCCAAUGGCGCCGUUUGGAACUCACAUCCUUUGGGAACUUGUACCCUUUAGACUCACGUACCAAUUCAGAUGUCCCAACCGUUGAUCUAACCGUCCAUAUGGACUGUCUGAUCCGUGCGUGUGUCCGGCCUAUGGCCAAAGGACCACGCCUUGUUACUACACAUUACAUGAACCAUCGUGACUAUUCAGGGAAGGGUUGCAAAC
rnacentral:lncRNA from 1 species